ACCAUCUGGACCAUAUUUGCUGAAGAGAACUUGUCUCCUACUGCUCUAGUGGCUGUAUUACAUCACUUUGUCCAAGCAGGCCAGCACAGGCAAGCUAACGCACAGAAGAGGGUUUUUGCUCUCCAUGCAGCUGGGUUGUACUUCUUACUGCUGGAAAUCCCAGGCAGUAUAGUUAACCAGCUGUUGCACCAAGUGAUGUUUGAUAAGUGCCUUCACGCCCUGACAAAAUGCUGGCCUCAGGAACCAGAUCUGGCCAGGAAGAGAAAGAAGGUGCACACUCAAAGCUCUCAGACCACUGCAGGGAGAAACAGAAAGAAAGGCAAACCACGCAGGAAUGGCCCCUCCCAUAUGGAAGAGAUCCAAGAGGAAGAGGAGGAGGAAAAGGAGGAAGAGGAUGAUGAAAAUGUUUACUUUUCAACAGAUGACCUCCUUCAAGUUCGCAAUGCCAUCUUCUUUCUGCUCAAAAACAUCUUGAGGCUGCUAUCUAAGUUCCCCCUCAAAGAAAAACCUCAGUGUGUGCAAACCUGCCUGCGGGUCUUUAUUGAAGUGACAAACUUUGAGCCAGUGGUACAGGAGUUCAAGUUCUCAUCAGAAAUGGAUGUUGACAACGCCAAGUACAUCUCCGAGCUGGCCUAUCACGGGGUGCGGUUACUGUGCUCCCCUCUACAUGGUACAGAAGAUAAGGUUCUCCGCUGUGUCUUCCAGCAGCUCCUCAGUGUCAUCCUGAUGCUGGAAGGUGGUGCAAGCUCCAGAUUUGCAGUCCUUGCCAUCACAUCAGCUGUGAUCAGUGCCAGGAAUCAGGCUCUUAAAUUUAUCAGCUCUGUAGUGGAUGAACUGAAAGAAGCUGCUUUUCCAGUUCUUCGGACAUUACUGCAACAUAUCUGCACCAAGGUCCCAGACAAGGCUGAUUAUCGCACAUACGCUGCGCAGGCCCUGGUGACUCUGCUGAGCAAAUUCCCUAAUGUAGAGUUUGCUGACUUCAUCGCCUGGCUUUACAAAUACUCCCACAACACUAAAGUUGCCUACAGGGUGUUUGCUCUCGAUGUAGCCUUAGCUUUGUUGGAUGUGCCAGAGAGGAACGUGGACACCUCCCUGUCCCUGGACCAGCAGAAGUUUCUAAAGCAUAAGUUUUUAGUACAGGUGAUGGUGUUCGGGCGCUGCUCAGACAAAGCACCUGUGGUCCGUAGCAAAGCUUUAAGCAGCUUUGCCCAGUGUCUUGAAAUGAAAGCUGCUACUACCUUGGAGAGCAUCCAGGACUUAUUACAAAGCUUCUUGGAAGCAAACACAGACGCUGCGAGUUUGACGGUCAGUGCAGAAGGUACAGAGCUAUUCUCUUCUACUGUGUCCAGCCAUCCACUGAAGACCUUGCCCAUGUUCAAAACCAUUGAGCUGACAGGCAACAGCAACGCUGCUGGCCUUGAUGGAAAAGAAGUCAUGGCCGUGCUGAGACGGAGAGCUGGAGAUGAGAAAACCAACGUGAGGAAAUCUGCUCUGCAGGUUUUCAUGAACAUCCUGAAGCACCAAGUGAUCCCUUGCACUGCAGAGGAUUUGUGCAUCCUUCAGGACCGCUGCCGGGACCCGGCUGUCUCUGUGCGUAAGCAGGCCUUGCAGUCUAUAACAGAGCUCCUCCUGUCUCAGCACAAUAAUGCUCUAGUGCAGAAGGCCUGGUUAAAUGGAGUGGUGCCUGUUGUGAUGGACUCGGAGAGUUCUGUCCAAGAAAAGGCCUUGGAUUGCCUUGAUCAGCUCUUGUUGCAGCAUAUAAAACGUUAUGAUAAAUUCAGGAGUGAUGAUGAGAAUCAGGUGCUGGCAUGGGAUCUCCUCACCCUCCUGGCUUCAGACAACCAGGAGCUCAACCGUUACUUGAGCAAAGCUUUUCAUGUGUGGUCCAGACAGAAUAAGUUCACCUCCACCUUCAUUAAUAACAUCAUGUCUCAUGUGGAAACAGAGCAUGCUGUACCAGCCUGGAUGCUGCUUGCUAAGGUGGCACGUUCUUCCCCCAAGAUGGAUUACUCCAAGAUCAUUGAAUCCUGGAACAAUGUCAGCAGGCAGCCGAACAUAAGCGCUGAUACUACAGGACAUAUGCUGUGUGUUGUGGGUCAUGUCGCAAAGCACCUCCCUAAAAGCACUUGUGAGAGGCUGAUUGAUCAUCUCAAGUGGUGGCUCAGGGAUUCUCAGUGUCCCUUGGAGGUGGUCAGCCCAGCUGUGGAGACUCUGCAGAAGCUCUGCCAUGCCUAUGCAGAUGUGGUGGAGGAGGCACAGGAGCUGCUCAACCAGGUGUGUGGAGAUUUAGUAUCCAACUGUGAAAGCUACAUCUCGAAUAUAGUCCUCAAAGAGGAUGGAGCAAAGCAGCUGCAGGAAGAUCUCUUGGUGAGACACCUCUACCUCCUGGGGGAGGCUGCACAGCUCUGUCCAGCCAAAGUGGAGAAACGUGUCUUCCUGUUGGUUCAGUUCAUUCUGGCUGCUCCUGUCAGCGAGGACAAACUGAUCAGUCCUCCAGAUGGUGAGGAAAUCCCAGCUUCACAGCCGCUGUCCCAGUUCAGAGGAUCAGCCAUGCCAUCAGUGGUCAGAGCUCAUGCCUUCAUUACUCUAGGUAAAUUGUGUUUGCAGCAUGAGGAUCUGGCCAAGAAAUGCAUUGCAGCUCUCGCUCGAGAGCUGGAGGUGUCACAGGAUGUGGCUGUUCGCAAUAACGUUGUCAUCAUCAUGUGUGAUCUGUGUGUCCGUUACACAUCCAUGGUGGACAGAUACAUUCCCAACAUUUCCUUGUGCCUGAAGGACCCCCAUCCCUUCAUCCGUAAGCAGACACUGAUCCUGCUCACCAACCUCCUGCAGGAGGAGUUUGUGAGAUGGAAGAACUGUCUCUUCUUCCGUUUCAUCACUGUCUUGGUGGAUCCGUGUCCAGACAUUGCCAGGUUUGGAGAGUUCUGCCUGGUGCAUCUCUUGCUGAAGAGGAAUCCUGUAAUGUUCUCCCAGCACUUCAUUGAGUGCAUCUUCCAUUUCAAUAGCUACGAGAAGCAUGAGAAGUACAACAGGUUCCCCCAGAGUGCACGGGCGAAGAGUCUCUUUUCUCUGAAGGGGAAAGAAAACAGAGAGAAAAGGAUGCUUAUCUACAAGUUCCUGCUGGACCACUUUACAGAUGAGCAGAGGUUCAGCAUCACAACAAAGAUCAGCCACAGCGUCCUAGCAUGCUUUGUGGAUAACAUCCUCCCAUUGGACCUGGAAGCCAGUGAGCUGCUCUCAGAUACGUUUGCAGUCCUUAGCUGCAAAGAAAUCAAGCUGUCAACUAUGAGGUCAAAACCAGACGAAGAUAUUCAGCCUGAGGAAGAUGAAAUGGCAAUGGCCAAUGCUGUCAUGCAGGUGGCACAGAAAAAGCUCAUCUCGCAGGUUCAAAAGAAGAACUUCAUAGAAAACACCGUGCCAAUAAUCACAUCCCUCAAGUCUCUGAUGGAGCAGAAGAAGCUCCCAGCUCUCCGGGACCUUAUGAGCUACCUCCAGGAAAUGAUGCAGGAUUACAGAAAUGAAAUCAAGGACUUCUUUGCUGUGGACAAGCAGCUGGCAGCCGAGCUGGAGUAUGAUAUGAAGAAGUAUGAAGAGCAGCUGGCCAGGGAGAAGGAGGCAGACCAAGAGCAAGUCUCCACAGCACAGGCAGAGCAACCUCCAUCUUUGGAGAGAACUGGACCUUCUGGAGGCUGCAGCAGUAAUGCUCAGUCUCCUACAAGUGGGAGACAGUCCUCCUCACCUCAGUCGAGUGCUUCCUCAGUGCCUGCUGUGUUUGCUACACCGAGGGCUGAUGCUCUGAAACACAGUCACAGGCCAGCAUCCUUGAGCACAGUUGCCAUCCUGAACUCUGCCAGGAAAGCGAUGGAAGCCAGGAGCAAGCAACGCAGCAAGAGUGUUGGAGGAAGGUUAGCAACUGCAUCGCUUCCACCGAGCACAGCCGGCAGCAAGCAAGCAUCCUUCCAAAGCCUGAAUGAACACUCUACGAGAGAGAAUGCUUCUGUGGUGGGCCGUGCAAUCAGCACACCAGAACAGACCAUUAAUGACUUGACUUUUGGUGCUGGGGUCAGUUACAUCAGCUUGAUGCACACACCCGCUUCAGGUCCAGGCAAGUUCUCUUUGGGAUUCUAACCUGAAGGGGGGGAACACCCCGAUGAUCAUAUCUAUGGCAUUUCUUACCAUAUGAAAGUAUGUGUGUUACUUGCAGAGAAGGAGAAUGCUGAGGAGGAGCCAAAAGAUAUCAUCUGUUUGAACUCACCAGAUGAAGUCCCCUCCCAGCCCCAGAAGUGGAAAAUAGAAUCCCCAGCAAGGAAAAAGAGCAGCCAAUGUGUCCCCCUGAGACGUUCCCAGCGGAGAACCCCACUGAAACCAGACAACUGAUCCCUUCACUGAGCUGUUGUACAGAAUCCAGGUUGCCUGAAAUUUGCCCCUCUCCUCUGUAUUUAUAAGUCCCCGUGGACACACGUCCAUCCUCCUUUCCUUCCUUAUCUAUUCUGAUGUGGGUUUUACAUGAAACUGUCUAGAAAGUGGGCACACAAAGCUUGCAUUGCCACAUGUACAUAUUAUAAAGUGCUGCUGUUGACAGAGCUCAGUGGAGUGCUGAAAGCUGCAGUAUAAAGGGAGGCUUGCUCCUUACUCACAGGAUGUAUAAUUUGUCCAUUUGGAAAAGUAAGAGCAUAAUGUUGCCACCAGCUUAGCAAUAAAGGCAUUUAUCACAGCUUGCAGGGAAGUGAGUGGCUCUGCUUAGUCCCUCAUUGUCCCGCCUGGCUCUAUGCUAGGCUUGCUUUAAUUUGCACAAAGGUAAACCAGCUUGUCACUGCCAUCCCCCUAAAUCUGGUAAUUGCAAGCUCCAGCACCUCUUAUUUGUUGUGCUAACUCCUGUGUGUGUGAGCAGCCUUCGUGUUCUUUUCUAUGGAAUAUUUCCAGUCUUGAACUAUGUGAUUUCCAUUUUAUGAAAAUAAAUGGUUACAGAAUUAAUUCCACCCACA